CGCUGGCGGCAUGCUUUACACAUGCAAGUCGAACGGCAGCACGGGGGCAACCCUGGUGGCGAGUGGCGAACGGGUGAGUAAUAUAUCGGAACGUACCCAGGAGUGGGGGAUAACGUAGCGAAAGUUACGCUAAUACCGCAUACGACCUACGGGUGAAAGUGGGGGAUCGCAAGACCUCAUGCUCAUGGAGCGGCCGAUAUCUGAUUAGCUAGUUGGUGGGGUAAAGGCUCACCAAGGCAACGAUCAGUAGCUGGUCUGAGAGGACGACCAGCCACACUGGAACUGAGACACGGUCCAGACUCCUACGGGAGGCAGCAGUGGGGAAUUUUGGACAAUGGGGGCAACCCUGAUCCAGCAGUGCCGCGUGAGUGAAGAAGGCCUUCGGGUUGUAAAGCUCUUUUGUCAGGGAAGAAACGACCCCUUCUAAUACAGGGGGGUAAUGACGGUACCUGAAGAAUAAGCACCGGCU
rnacentral:rRNA from 1 species